rnacentral:rRNA from 1 species
AACGUAGGAGGCGAGCGUUAUCCGGAUUUACUGGGCGUAAAGCGCGCGCAGGCGGCUUGGUAAGUUGGACGUGAAAGCUCCUGGCUUAACUGGGAGAGGCCGUUCGAAACUGCCGGGCUUGAGGUUGGGAGAGGGGUGCGGAAUUCCCGGUGUAGUGGUGGAAUGCGUAGAUAUCGGGAGGAACACCAGUGGCGAAGGCGGCACCCUGGCCCACACCUGACGCUGAGGUGCGAAAGCGUGGGGAGUAAACAGG